rnacentral:rRNA from 1 species
GACGAACGCUGGCGGCGUGCUUAACACAUGCAAGUCGAACGGUGAAGCGAGUGCUUGCACUCGUGGAUCAGUGGCGAACGGGUGAGUAACACGUGAGUAACCUGCCCAUCACUCUGGGAUAAGCACUGGAAACGGUGUCUAAUACUGGAUACGACCAACCCUUGCAUGGGGUGUUGGUGGAAAGAUUUAUCGGUGAUGGAUGGACUCGCGGCCUAUCAGCUUGUUGGCGGGGUAAUGGCCCACCAAGGCGUCGACGGGUAGCCGGCCUGAGAGGGUGACCGGCCACACUGGGACUGAGACACGGCCCAGACUCCUACGGGAGGCAGCAGUGGGGAAUAUUGCACAAUGGGCGAAAGCCUGAUGCAGCGACGCCGCGUGAGGGAUGACGGCCUUCGGGUUGUAAACCUCUUUCAGCAGGGAAGAAGCGAAAGUGACGGUACCUGCAGAAGAAGCACCGGCUAACUACGUG